rnacentral:rRNA from 1 species
CGGUUUCACAAUUGCACACCCGCACAUGUGGACGUUUAAGCGCUGGAAGAGACCCCCACAGGGAUUGCCCCAGUAACGGAGAGUGAAGCGGCAACAGCUCAAAUUUGAAAUCUGGCUUCGGCCCGAGUUGUAAUUUGCAGAGGAAGCUUUAGGCGCGGCACCAUGUGAGUCCCCUGGAACGGGGCGCCACAGAGGGUGAGAGCCCCGUAUAGAUGGACGCCUAGCCUGUGUAAAGCUCCUUCGACGAGUCGAGUAGUUUGGGAAUGCUGCUCAAAAUGGGAGGUAAAUUUCUUCUAAAGCUAAAUACCGGCCAGAGACCGAUAGCGCACAAGUAGAGUGAUCGAAAGAUGAAAAGCACUUUGAAAAGAGGGUUAAAUAGCACGUGAAAUUGUUGAAAGGGAAGCGCUUGUGACCAGACUUGCGCCGGGCGGAUCAUCCGGUGUUCUCACCGGUGCACUCCGCCCGGCUCAGGCCAGCAUCGGUUCUCGUGGGGGGAUAAAGGCACCGGGAACGUAGCUCCUCCGGGAGUGUUAUAGCCCGGGGCGUAAUGCCCUCGCGGGGACCGAGGACCGCGCAUCUGCAAGGAUGCUGGCGUAAUGGUCAUCAGCGACCCGUCUUGAAACACGGACCAAGGAGUCAAGGUUUUGCGCGAGUGUUUGGGUGUAAAACCCGCACGCGUAAUGAAAGUGAACGUAGGUGAGAGCUUCGGCGCAUCAUCGACCGAUCCUGAUGUUCUCGGAUGGAUUUGA